UAUUGCUCAGGAUCUGAUUCAUGACAUGCCUAGUAUCCAAGUGUUUGGAGAGAAAAGUGAAACGAGCAAGCCUGUCGAUGGUGAUGAUGAAGAUGGCAAUGAAGAUGGGGACGGAGAAGAGGACGGUGCUGUCGGGGAGGGUGACGAAGAACCAUCUGAGGAUGACGGGGAGGGAUACGAGAACCCCAAUAAUAACAGUGGCAAGAAAGCCCCUGGCGACGGUGCUGGUGGUGAAGAAAACGGAGAGGAUGAUGAUGAAGAGGCCGAGGAUCCAGAGGACGGGGAUGACGACGACGAUGAUGAAGAAGAUGAGGAUGACGAUGAUGGUGGAGAGGACGAGGACGAGGGUGUGGAAGACGACGAGGAGAACGAGGAUGAAGAGGAAGACGACGAGGAAGAGGAGCUUCAACCUCCUAAGAAGAGGAAGAAGUGAGCGUGGUCGAAGUCGGGCUCGGUUUUAGUUGUAGCUUCUCUUGCUCUUUCGCAGUUCAGUCCGUUCGACCUCGCCGUGUGCCCUAACCCUGGUUUCAUUUCAGGAUUCAUAACGACAGACCGUUGUGGUGUUGGCCUAUGUAGGAGUACUAUUUCCUAAUGCAUCAGAGAGAACUUUGUCAAAUUUUGAUUUGUCUCUCUCAGUUAUUUAAGCUAACAAACUCUAAACUAUGCUGCUUCAAUUUGGUAUCAGAUUUUAACAAUGUAGUCAAAUGCAGCUCACUUUUCC
rnacentral:lncRNA from 1 species